UACGUAGGGGGCAAGCGUUGUCCGGAAUCAUUGGGCGUAAAGAGCGUGUAGGCGGCCCGGUAAGUCCGCUGUGAAAGUCCAGGGCUCAACCCUGGGAUGCCGGUGGAUACUGUCGGGCUCGAGUCCGGAAGAGGAGUGUGGAAUUCCUGGUGUAGCGGUGAAAUGCGUAGAUAUCGGGAGGAACACCGGUGGCGAAGGCGGCGACCUGGGUAGAUGACUG
rnacentral:rRNA from 1 species